rnacentral:rRNA from 1 species
UACGAAGGGGGCGAGCGUUGUUCGGAUUUACUGGGCGUAAAGGGCGCGUAGGCGGCGGGCCAAGUCGAGUGUGAAAGCCCCGGGCUCAACCUGGGAGGUGCGCUCGAGACUGGUUUGCUGGAGUUCGGGAGAGGAGCGUGGAAUUCCCAGUGUAGAGGUGAAAUUCGUAGAUAUUGGGAAGAACACCGGUGGCGAAGGCGGCGCUCUGGACCGAGACUGACGCUGAGGCGCGAAGGCGUGGGGAGCAAACAGGG